UACACACCGCCCGUCACACCAUGGGAGUUGGCUUUACCCGAAGGCGGUGCACUAACCUUGCAAGAGGGAGUAGCCGACCACGGUAAGGUCAGCGACUGGGGUG
rnacentral:rRNA from 1 species